GACGGAGGGUGCAAGCGUUGUUCGGAAUUACUGGGCGUAAAGCGCGUGUAGGCGGCUAAGUAAGUCGGGCGUGAAAUCCCACGGCUCAACCGUGGAAGUGCACUCGAAACUGCAUAGCUGGAGUCCUGGAGAGGAAGGUGGAAUGCUUGGUGUAGAGGUGAAAUUCGUAGAUAUCAAGCGGAACACCGGUGGCGAAGGCGGCCUUCUGGACAGUGACUGACGCUGAGACGCGAAAGCGUGGGGAGCAAACAGG
rnacentral:rRNA from 1 species